GACGAACGCUGGCGGCGCGCUUAACACAUGCAAGUCGAACGGAAAGGCCUGCUUUCCCUUGUGGAUUGCGGGUACUCGAGUGGCGAACGGGUGAGUAACACGUGAGUGAUCUGCCCCCAACUUGGGUAUAAGCCUGGGAAACUGGGUCUAAUUCCCGAUAGGACUGCAGGGUGGUGCCUGUGGUGGAAAACGAUUUUCUAGUGGUUGGGGGUGAGCUCGCGGCCUAUCAGCUUGUUGGUGGGGUAAUGGCCUACCAAGGCGGCGACGGGUAGCCGGCCUGAGAGGGUGGACGGCCACAUUGGGACUGGGAUACGGCCCAGACUCCUACGGGAGGCAGCAGUGGGGAAUAUUGCACAAUGGGCGGAAGCCUGAUGCAGCGACGCCGCGUGGGGGAUGACGGCCUUCGGGUUGUAAACUCCUUUCGACCGCGAGGAAGCCACCUGGUUGGAAGGGUGGUGACGGUAGUGGUAGAAGAAGCACCGGCUAACUACGUG
rnacentral:rRNA from 1 species